UUUUUUUUUGGCCAUUUAGGCUCCACUGUGUAACUAACAUUCAAUUAACUGUGCUGGAGGGGGUUAGUGUAGAGGCUGGUAAAAACAGGAUACUGACAGAGCCCCAGAACAAUCCUUGUGACCCCUUCUCCCCCACCCCCCAACACACGCAAGCUUAUAGGCACUAACUAUGCUUGUCAGUUCAACUUUAUAGGCAGAGCAAAAGCAGUGAUUUGUUUGAUUUUCAUAUGUCUGGUUUCUGGGAGGCUGAAGGAAGAAAACAGACAAUGCAUUGAACAAAAACUGGCUGACCAGUAAUGGAAGGUUAAUUGUCCACCUUCCCAAGAAGGGAAAAGAAAAAUCCAAUGAAAUUGUAGCCUGCUUGCUGGACCCCUUCUUCCUUCACUACCACUCCCCCCCCCCCCCAUUCAUUGGCCGACCUCCUGGAGGAUGCAGAAACUGCCCCGGAGACAAGUAAAUCUUGAUUUUGAUAGGUCUCAUUGCUCACCAAUGAGAAGCAAGCUUUUAGCUCCACUGCCCACACUCUAACAGAGCAGCUGAAAAACCAUGCCGAUCGCUGAGGAGACUUGGGCCUCUCACUUGGAAGCCUUAAGCCUAGGCCCUUGGUUGGUAUGGUUCUGAAUUCUAGGCUUCUGAGUACAGGCCAGGCUCACCAACUUCUUCACAAUCAGCACUUCCCCCUGAUUUGGCAGAGGACACUUAAAAUAAUAAACAGCGAGAACCCAGUUGCUUUCGAAAGCAUUCAGACUACUCGGUUUGAAGGUCCUGAUCGAAUUUCACGGGUUUUGCCUGAGAUAAAAUAGACUGGUUCCUGGCCUGAAUUUAUAUAUGAAUGCCACACUUGUCUGCCUCAGACUCAGAAUUCCAAAAGACAGAAACAUUUUCUCCUGUAGGGAAACAAAGGGGUGUGUUCAUGCUUUGGCCUAACAAAAGUGAAAGGCUGCCAGGGCCUUCUCCUUGGGAACCACUUUGAACAGCUGAACUCUGAAGCCAAAUGUGAAACUCACAUAAGUAUAGAUUGUGUUACUUCUGCUGCUUUUUCUAGAAGCUUCUUGUUUGCUACUUCUAGUGGGUUUCACCUCUCCCCCCAACUUGCUGUCUCUGGUGGUUUUUCCAAAAGAUUUUCAAGCUGAAUGCCCAGACACUUUUGUAUUUUUCCAUUACCUUGAGUCUUGCUUUCCUCUACAGUAGUCUGUCUACCUGGGAUUUUUAUAACAUCUUCUGCAGCAUUACUGUGACCCUUGAGUGCCCAGUGGUGUUUCUAUUAGCACAAGGGGAUUUGGGGGCAAUGAUUGUAUGGGCAGAGAUAACUCUGAGGACUAGAAAUAUUCCUUUAAAAUUUUGAAGUGGGGGACCUAAUCCUCCCCCCAAAAAAACAACCAAACUGUAAAAUUUGCUCAUCUUUGAUGACCAUAACACCAAACAUUUUUCUGCUCUUAACGCCAAACUUCUCUUGCCCCCGUGAGUAUCAUAACACCAAAUCUCUCUCCCACCGAGGCACAUAGCACAAUGUUUGCUGCCUUCUACACCUACUCUGCUAAGACUGGAGAAGACAGGCUGAAAGCCCCUCUUGGCAGGCUUUCACAGAACCUCCAACUGCCAUUGUUACUUAUACAGAUCAUAAUGAUAAUAGUUUUUGAAGGUGAAAGCCCAGAAGGCUCAAGUGAAAUGAAGUUGGCCCUAGGAGGUCAGCUUCCAAUUCAAGUUGUUUCUAUACCUCUAUUUGCUCUGUUUGCUCUGUUUUCCAACCAAUAGUGGCAGGUGGCUCUGCUAGACUGACUUUCACUCUGGUCACAAGUAGAGAGAGUCAUCCCCAGGAUUGUUAAUGGGUAGCUAAGAGUGCUUUGCUCUAAGUGGGUGUUCAUUACUUAUUUGUGGUUCAGAUGUUGAGGGUAGAGAGCAAGCCAUUCUUGGUACAAUAAGUCUUGCUGGUCCCUCUUCUCCUCCCCCUUCGUCAUCUCUCGCCUGGGCCUCCCACCUGGCCGCAACUUGUCUCGCAGCCCCAACCCCCAUGAACUGCAUGCCUAGCCUACAGCUUAUCCUUUAAGGAGGCAGGACCACAGGCAGCUAAAUAGUUCAAGUUAGCCUAGUGACCACAAAUCAACCAGUUGGUCCAAAGGCAUUACCUGGAACGUGCAGAGAUGGAGGAGAUUCUGCAAGGCUUACAGUGAGCAUUUCACUGGACAUCCAUUUCAACUCUCUAGACAACACAGAUCAGAUUGUGAUCCCGCUGUACCUAAUCUGUGUGAGCAGAUGUGUCCAUGCACCUGCCCUCUUGCUCACAAACUCAUCCCUAAAAAGAUGAUUUCAUGGCCAGGGCUCUGUUCCUCACCAGUGCAGCCUUCCAUCCUCACCAAGUCUAUAACACAAUAGUAAGCUUUCACUUUAAUCUGAUCUGCCAGAGCCAAGACCAGAGUGAGGUGAAUGAAGUGCCCACUCUCAGGGCUGAGCAGGUGCCUUACCCUUGUCCCAGCCCUGAACUCUGCACUCUACAAAUACAAGUUUAUCUUCUUCCUGUGCAGAAGUGUGGUUCCUCUGAUGGCUCCCUAUCUGCUGUUGCUCCAAAUGUUUUAUUACCAUCUAUUUUCUUCCAUUGCUAUCAACCUUUGUAUGCCUAUACAUUAAAGGGUCUUCAAAAUUAUCAGAAAACAUGGUUAAUUUUCAAGCAACCUGCUCCGGGUGGCAAGCUAGCACCCAUUUCAAUAGGGAUGCAGACAGGGGGUCAGUCCUUCACCAAAAUUGUGAAUGAGUUGGAGGCCUGCCACUGAGAUCCCCUUUCUCCUCUUUCUACUCCAUGUGCCCCAGACCUUGAUUCCCAGCACAACUCUUCUGAGUGCCUCCUAGUUUUGUUCUCCUCAAUAAGAAAAAUGUGCUCUCAGGAAAGGGAUGAAGUCCUUUACUUUGACAUUGUGAGGGUCGCUUGCAUUAUAACAGGGGAAAAGCCUAAAGCCGAAGGAAUUGAAGUUCUACUUGUAGAAUUUUAGGCACCAAUUCAUUGCCAAAGUGUAUCUUUCACCACGGAAAGGCCAAAUUCUCUGUCAGCUAAUUUCAAAAUAUAGAACCUGGAAUUAUUUUAUUACAUUGCCACUGAUUGGCUACAUAGUCCUGAUACCCAGUGCUGUUCUCUUGGACAGGGGACCAAGGGACCACAUCUACCAAGAGACUCUCAGCAAUGGCUCCUGAGAGCCACGGAGAAGGCUGAGAUCAUUCCUAUUGUAAAGUAACAUUUUGACACAAAUGGAAUACUAAUCAUGUUAGCAAAAGAACACAAGGAGUUAGAGUUAGAAUGUAUCCUCUUCGUGAAAGGUGAAAUUGUCCAAUCAAUGUCUGAUCGAUGUUGGUUGCCCAGUGUUGGUGAUAAUUAUUAAACUUUCUGGAGGUACAACUUUACUGAACACAAGUCUCUGCUUCCCUUCCUCUUAUUUAUGUUUUGUGCUAUCACUUCAGCUUGGUGUGAGAGAGACCAGAUCUCUGCCAGUGCACCCAGUCCCUCCAAAGCCUUUGCUUGUGUUUCAGCUAAAAGUCACUAAGAUAUUAGGGAUUUAAAAGGACAAGAGAGUGGGAAAGAGGUACAAAUAGCUGCCUUCGUCAAAAAGCAUCAAGAAUUCUAAUUUAGGGAUGCCUGGGUGGCUCAGCGGUUAAGCAUCUGCCUUUGGCUCAGGGCAUAAUCCCAGAAUCCUGGAAUCAAGUCCCACAUCAGGGUCUCUGCAUGGAGCCUGCUUCUCCUCCCUCUUCCUAUGUCUCUGCCUCUCUCUGUGUCUCCCAUGAAUAAAUAAAUAAAAUCUUUUUUAAAAAUAAGAAUUCCAUUCCAAUGACAUGAAAUAAAGUUUUAGAGUAUUCUGAAACAGAUUUAUAUAGGAAUACAGUAGUAAAUGGUUAAAGACAAAUAUUUGAGGAGCUUAUAAUAAGUGUAGCAAAAAUAAAUUUGCAUAAGUAAAGGGUUGUGUGAAAUAUGUAUAUAUGUUUGUUCGGCAAAGUAAGCCGAAAAUUGAGGCCAGUGGUUCUCACAGUGUGAUCUCAGAACCACCAGCAGCAGCUCUGUAUUAUGUAUGUGUGUGUGUGUGUGUGUGUGUGUGUGUGUAUUCUUCUUCAGUGAUGUUACUUCUUCAAGCCCCUGAAUCAUCAUGGUCACGACUGUCCAAAUGGUUCCAACCUUUCCUGUUGUUUCUGCUGUCAUUAGAGUGAUCAGUGUCUGGCCAAGUGAUGUAUAUUGUCGUGCUGGUCAGGUAUACAUUUGUUUGGUGUUAAGAAAUUAUCAGAUUGAAUCAACUACUUGCUUAACCUGCAAAACCCUUUAUUUGACUUAGCCAGCACAUCUGGCCUGUUCGGGGUUUAAUUUUUUUUUUAAUUUACAAAUAGGAAAAAGGAAGAAGUGUUCUGUCUGUUUGGUAUUGCCAACCCUUAAAUAUCUAUCUUCACCAUGGUGGCUGUUUUCUACGAGGGCUCUGAUUUUAAGAUUUUGCCUACAGAGUGGAAUUUGAUAUCAACAAAUGCACCAACAAAAUCUGAAUUGGAACAACCAGUUAACCCCUCUCAGCUUCUCCUUAAUGCCAAGCUUUAUAGGAACUUAUUCCUUAUGUGGUGUGCAGCUUUUUUUUUAACGUCCAAUUUUAUAAAAUGUUAUGCAUGCAGACGCAGCAUUGUGCUCAUUAUAUAAAUCACCCCAAACUCAUUUCCUCUUCCGUAUGUAUGAUGGUGAAGAAAUAUCAAUAUGUAUGUUCUUACCUCUCCUGAUCAACUGUAAAUGACAAAUCUUUUCAUUAAUUUUUAAAUGAGAUAUAUUUACUCUGGCUAGUGGUUAAAAUUUUAUUCUUAUUAUAUUUCAUUGCUACUCUUUUCUACUGACUCCAAAGGUUACUUUAGGUAAUAUUUCUUAUUUCUAGGUGGUUGUAUUUCUCUAAUUUCUAUAUUUAUCUGUAGUCAUGGAAUGUUAGAACCAAAAGGGACCAACCUCUCAUUUUACACAUGAGGCCCAGAAAGGUCAAAUAACUUACACAAGGUCAUGUACACAGUAGCAGAGCCUGGCCUCAAUCCCAGGUUUCCUGCCUCUGGGGCCAGUGUGUUUUCAUUUAAAGCACUGCAUUUAUAGAAGACCCACAGCUGACUUCUACUUUUAUGACACAUGAAUUUCCUGGGUAUUUCAGUGAACUAAUUAUAAAUGCUUGAAGGGAAAAUGUUCAAGAUUUCUUUACUUGAAUCUGAAGACAAAUCCAAUUUUCAAUUUAGAAACAUUCGUUUCCCCUCCAAAUUCAGUAGAUGUUCCUACUUUGUAAUGUUUUCCCUAAGAGGUGUUUGAAAAAUGAAUUCUUGUGGAUCAAAUUCCACUUUUUGGUAGAGAAGUGUCUUAUGUCUUAUGUUGCAACGUCUUUAGAAAAACAAAGAACCCCCUUGUCAACGUUCCCUAAUGUAUCUACUUCUUUUUAGUGUGAACUUUUUAAAUUGGCAUUUAUGUAAAGUAGAGCAAGCCAAUAUAGGCUUUCCUAGAAUCUACUUUAUCCUUCCCUCCUUAAACUCUAUGAGAUGUUUUCAGACUGUUAGAUACUCAUGAGAUAUGUAGUUGUGUUCUAGAAACUUCAUCUAGCUUGAUGUUAUGUCAAUCCCUGUACUCAAAUUCUUUCCCCAUCUUAUCAGAAAAUAACAGAAUUCCCUAAUCAGUACUGAGUUCUGCAUGCAUGCUCUUUUCUGGAACAUUUUUUGCCUAGUGUGACUCUCUCUUUAGCUAUUCUUGGGCUUCCUUCCAUGGUUCAUGCAUACCUUACUAUGCUGUGGAACCACAGGCAGUGUCCCUUUAGGGCUGUACCAAUCAUAUGGAGUGGUAUUUCCAUCAUUCCCUUGUUUCUACUGGACCUCCUCUGGUUUCCAUUUUCAGGAAUGCUCAGAGAUUGGUGGGAUCUAGACCCGGGGGUUGACAAACUUUUGUAGAAGAGCCAGAUAUUAAGUAUUUUGGGUUUGGGGGUGGCAUAUAUGGUCUCUGUAGCAUAUUUUUCUUUGUUGUCGUUACUUGGUUUCUUUGUUUUACCAUACUUUAAAAAUGUAGAUACCGGGAUGGUUCAGUGGUUGAGCGUCUGCCUUUUGGCUCAGGGUGUGAUCUCAGGAUCCGGGAUCAAGUCCCACAUUGGGCUCCUUGCAUGGAGUCUGCUUCUCCCUCUGCCUGGGUCUGUCUGUCUCUCUGUCUCUCUUUCUCUCUUUCUGUGUCUCUCAUAAAUAAAUAAAUAAAUAAAUAAAUAAAUAAAUAAAUAAA
rnacentral:lncRNA from 1 species